rnacentral:tRNA from 1 species
GGAGAUGUAGCUCAGUGGGUAGAGCACUUGCCUGCUGUGCGUGAAGCCCUGGGUUGCCUCCCCAGCACCUCGU